GCCUGCCUCUACCUCCCGGCCUGCACAUCCCGCUCGGCUGUCGCUGAAGGCCCUCUUACGAAGAAACCGUUCUACGGAAGCCCAGUUGAGACAACUUGAGACAGGAUUCAGAAACGCUGAUUUUAGUAACCUUAACCCUCGGCCUUUGGUGGGAACUUCGGCUCUGUGGGAAUUAGUCUUUGGGGGACUGAUGGUGAUGCUGAAAUCUUAUUGCGUAGGAAAUUAAGUACAACAAAGAAGACCCGUCGUGAGAGGAGAGUGCGGAAGAAAUGCGAAGUCUACGGGAGGUGGCAGCUGCAGAAGCUUGGUGUUGGAUUUGGAGUUAGGAGACCGGGAGGAGCCCAGCUUCCGGUCCAGACGGUUAUCUUGUUGACUUGCACGACUGCAAACGCCCUGAGCUGCUUUUGCAGUCUGAAACAUCAGCGAUCCCAUCAAAAUAUUCUGUUUCUUGGGAUAUAAGAAACAUCCCAAGGCGGGCUGUAGAGCGAGAGAUUUGGACUCGAUUUAAAUACAGACAAAAUAGUAUGCAUUUACUAACACCACAUCUCACCCCCACGAAACUUGGUAAGGGCAGCAACAGAACUUUAUCUGCCAUAUGCACUCCUGUAUUCCUAUUACCAAAUAGUGCCAGGGACUAAGUGAAUAUUUGCCCAAUGAAUGAGUUUUAAGUAGGAAACGUUUGCAUAGAAUCAUUUUGUUUCUUUUGGAGUUCAAAUCUUCGGAUAUUUUACCCUUCCCAAUCCAAAGAAAAGUCUCUGAGUGAAGAGAUGGGAACAAAAUCCAAGCCCAGCACAACAAUGGCACACAGCAGUUGCUGCCCAAGCCUGGGUGCUCCUGGUGGUCCUGCACGAUCGGCUGUGCAGUAGGCUUGUCAAGGAGAGGAUCCUCCCUGGCCUCUCCUUGGGCAGAGGAGGUGAGGCUCACCUCACAAAGAUCUUUGGAGAGAGGGAGGCAGGGAUCUGAGCACAGUGGGAGCCCCCUCUUCCUGCCUGCCCACCCCACCUGAGG
rnacentral:lncRNA from 1 species